UGGAUGCAACUUACUAUGCCCCGAGCUGAUAAAAAACGAGGAUUAUGCUAUUGUUUAAUGGAAACUUUUGACGACCGACGCAACUGGAUUGUAAAUGAGAAUCCUACAAUUCAUGACAUUAUGUCAAAAUAUCCUCGCCUUUUUGAUUUUCAUGGAGAAAUGAUUGAAUUGGAGUUUACAAAAUUAUUUAAUGAAGAAUUAAAUAAUAAUUUUUUGGCACGUUUCCCUGCAAACUAAGCAGAAAUUAUUAUUGUUUAUUGUAAAGUAAAGCGUCCUGACAUUUUUCGAAAAGCAUCUAUCUUAAAAGACGAAAAUUGGAAACCUUUGGCUAUCUUAGAUGCUUUGUUGACAACUUCAAAUAUUGCAGAAAAGAGGAAAGUUAAUGAAGCGUCAAAAGGAAAAAAGAAGGCUAAAAUUUCAGAGGAUCAAGUACAAGAAAAGCAAAUUGCUGACGUCAGUUCUUCUACAAAAGUUUUUCCAAAUCCUGAUUUGAUCAGAAUUC